rnacentral:rRNA from 1 species
GACGAACGCUGGCGGCGUGCUUAACACAUGCAAGUCGAACGCUGAAGCUCAGCUUUUGUUGGGUGGAUGAGUGGCGAACGGGUGAGUAACACGUGAGUAACCUGCCCCCUUCUUUGGGAUAACGCCCGGAAACGGGUGCUAAUACUGGAUAUUCACUGGUCUUCGCAUGGGGGUUGGUGGAAAGGGUUUUUCUGGUGGGGGAUGGGCUCGCGGCCUAUCAGCUUGUUGGUGGGGUGAUGGCCUACCAAGGCUUUGACGGGUAGCCGGCCUGAGAGGGUGACCGGUCACAUUGGGACUGAGAUACGGCCCAGACUCGUACGGGGGGCAGAAGUGGGGAAAAUUGGACAAUGGGCGAAAGACUGAUGCAGCGACGACGCGUGAGGGAUGGAGGCCUUCGGGUUGUGAACCUCUUUCGCUCAUGGUCAAGCCGCAACAAUGGUUGUGGUGAGGGUAGUGGGUAAAGAAGCGCCGGCUAACUACGUG